GAACGAACGCUGGCGGCAUGCCUAACACAUGCAAGUCGAACGAGACCUUCGGGUCUAGUGGCGCACGGGUGCGUAACGCGUGGGAACCUGCCCUUAGGUUCGGAAUAACUCCCCGAAAGGGGUGCUAAUACCGGAUAAUGUCUUCGGACCAAAGAUUUAUCGCCUUUGGAUGGGCCCGCGUUGGAUUAGCUAGUUGGUAGGGUAAAAGCCUACCAAGGCGACGAUCCAUAGCUGGUCUGAGAGGAUGAUCAGCCACACUGGGACUGAGACACGGCCCAGACUCCUACGGGAGGCAGCAGUGGGGAAUAUUGGACAAUGGGCGAAAGCCUGAUCCAGCAAUGCCGCGUGAGUGAUGAAGGCCUUAGGGUUGUAAAGCUCUUUUACCCGGGAUGAUAAUGACAGUACCGGGAGAAUAAGCUCCGGCUAACUCCGUG
rnacentral:rRNA from 1 species